CCGCGGUAAUUCCAGCUCCAAUAGCGUAUAUUAAAGUUGUUGUGGUUAAAAAGCUCGUAGUUGGAUUUCGGCGGGUAUUGGUUGGUUUGAAUUGCUUCAACACUGACUUUUUUACCCGUGUGUUUUGCCAGAAUUUAGCGGGUGAUCUUCGCCGAUUGUCCGUUGGAACUGGUAGGUUUACUUUGAAAAAAUUAGAGUGCUCAAAGCAAGCUUACUGCUUGAAUAGUUGCGCAUGGAAUAAUAGAAUAGGAAGUCGUUUCUAUUUUGUUGGUUUUCGGAAAUCGACUUAAUGAUUAAUAGGGAUAGUCGGGGGCAUUCGUAUUCAAACGACAGAGGUGAAAUUCUUGGACCGUUUGAAGACGAACUAAGGCGAAAGCAUUUGCCAAGAAUGUUUUCAUUAAUCAAGAACGAAAGUUAGAGGUUCGAAGGCGAUUAGAUACCGCCCUAGUUCUAACCAUAAACGAUGCCAGCUAGCGAUCUGCCGGCGUUUAAUUUUCUGACUUGGCAGGGAGCUUCCGGGAAACCAAAGCUUGUGGGUUCCAGGGGAAGUAUGGUUGCAAAGCUGAAACUUAAAGUAAUUGACGGAAGGGCACCACCAGGAGUGGAGCCUGUGGCUUAAUUUGACUCAACACGAGAAAUCUCACCAGGCCCGGACACUAGUAGGAUUGACAGAUUGAUAGCUCUUUCUUGAUUUGGUGGGUGGUGGUGCAUGGCCGUUCUUAGUUGGUGGAGUGAUUUGUCUGGUUAAUUCCGAUAACGAACGAGACUCUGUCCUGCUAAAUAGAUUCAACCUUUCUUUUGGGUUGGAAUUUCUUCUUAGAGGGACUGGCGAUUAUUAGUCGCACGAGAUUGAGCAAUAACAGGUCUGU
rnacentral:rRNA from 1 species